rnacentral:rRNA from 1 species
GUGACAGCCGCCGCGGUAAUACGUAGGGGGCAAGCGUUGUCCGGAAUUAUUGGGCGUAAAGCGCGCGCAGGCGGUUGAUUAAGUUUGGUGUUUAAGCCCGGGGCUCAACCCCGGAUCGCACUGAAAACUGGUCGACUUGAGUGUAGGAGAGGAAAGUGGAAUUCCACGUGUAGCGGUGAAAUGCGUAGAGAUGUGGAGGAACACCAGUGGCGAAGGCGACUUUCUGGCCUAUAACUGACGCUGAGGCGCGAAAGCGUGGGGAGCAAACAGGAUUAGAUACCCGAGUAGUCC